UUCACCGCCAAAGACGUUCCAGCACGUGGAUGAACGCGGGAGAACCAUAAACAGAGCGGUUACCAGCAGCGCGUGCAGACCUACUCCCAUGAUCAGCCUAAUAAUUAAAGCUUUCCUGGAACCGCUGCCGUACUGCGUAGCAUCGGGCACAUCAGGGGCCCAUGACAUGAUACAGAGGGACAGCUUAACUAUUAAAUAUCCAUCACGCCACGCCACAUCAGUCCUAAUGCAAUCAGAAACACAUGACUACAUCUCCCGGCCCCCACUUCCAUCCACAAUGAUUAAAUGACAGUUCGAUUUGAUUGGGAAGAGGGGGUGUCUACUGUAGCUGUGCAGACUAAUACGAGGCUGUGUACUUCAGAGAGUAAGCACAUGGGCUGUGGUCUUUUUGCUGUAUUAUCAUUUUAAUGAAGCAGGGUAUUUCUUUUGUGGUCGGGAGGCUCUAAUGCAGUUGUCCAAGACUCCCCUUUCAUGUGUCUUCUUCAAACGCUCCAGGUUGUUAAACAAAUGGAUGUGUCUGAGUAUAGGAUGCUGAUGUGGCCAGGCUGCUGUUGACUGGGCCAAUUAAGGCUCGGAGAGAAAAGAAUAAGGCAUGUCUGUUCACUCACUCAAACGGUCAUGCAAUACAGUCUGGCUGCUUCGUGUUUAUUAAAAUCACCUGGAUCCUUAAGGAUUUUGCAGAACACACUAGUUUGACAUUACUUGUUC